UACGUAGGGGGCAAGCGUUUGUCCGGAUUUAUUGGGCGUAAAGAGCGUGUAGGCGGCCAUACAGGUCCGUUGUGAAAACUGGAGGCUUAACCUCCAGACGUCGAUGGAAACCGUAUGGCUAGAGUCCGGAAGAGGAGAGUGGAAUUCCUGGUGUAGCGGUGAAAUGCGCAGAUAUCAGGAAGAACACCCGUGGCGAAGGCGGCUCUCUGGGACGGUACUGACGCUGAGACGCGAAAGCGUGGGGGAGCGAACAGG
rnacentral:rRNA from 1 species